CAAUAGCGUAUAUUAAAGCUGUUGCGGCUAAAAAGCUCGUAGUUGGAUUUCUGUCAAGGACAACUGGUCCGCCCUCCGGGUGAGCACAUAGUUUGGUCUUGGCAUCUUGCUGGAAGCUGUUGCUGCACUUGGCUGUGUGGCGCAGCGCCCAGCACUUUCACUUUGAGGAAAUUGGAGUGUUUCAAGCAGGCACAUGCCUUUGGACACAGUAGCAUGGAAUAAUUAGAUUGGGCUUUUGCUCCAAUUUGUCGGUUUCUGGAGCUGAGGUGAGAAUUAAUGGGGAUUGUUGGGGGCAUCCGAAUUUAGCCGUCAGAGGUGAAAUUCUUGGAUCUGCUAAAGACGGACAACUGCGAAAGCGUUUGCCCAGGAUGUUUUCAUUGA
rnacentral:rRNA from 1 species